ACAAGAGACAAAUGAUUCGUCGUGCCCGGUGUCAGUAACGACGCUUUGCCGCGCGGUUUCAUUUCACCGCAGCAACUUGGUGACUCCAUUCCCAUCACCGCAACCACAUACUACUACGUUUCUGUCUUCGUUCCAUUCUCUUCCUCUUGUGAGUGCAAUCAAUCCGUUACAUUGUUAUAUAUUCACACACCUGAGCCGAUUUAGGUUUAGAGUCUCUUCACUUUAGAAACGGUACCAUCGAUGGCGGAGAAGGAUGUGCCGAAGCUUAAGCUGAAACCUCGAAGACUCAAGGGUCACGACGACAGCACAACCUGCUGCAUUGCCUCACGUGAACGCUCUCAUCUGAUUGUCACUUCCGGCGAUGAUGGUCGUGUUUGCUGGUUUGACCUGCGAUGUCCUGAUGUGCCGCAACUGGUUAUGGAUGUUAGUGUGGAGCCAGUUUCGUCCUUUUGUUUCAAGUCAGGAAUGGAAGAUAUGAUUUAUGUCUCCUCAGGGAAGGAAAUCAAGUGUUUUGAUGUGUGAUUGGCCGCCGCCCAAUGGAAGCCAUUGGAGAAUUAUAAUUAUAACAAAGAGGAGAUAAACAAGGUUGUAUGCAACUCAAAGUCCUCAUUUGUUGCUGCAGCAGACGAUAAUGGUGAAGUUAAGAUAAUUGACAUUCGCCAGCAAUGCCUGUAUAAAACACUACGAGCUGGUCAUACAAGUAUAUGUAGCACUGUGGAAUUCCUUCCUUGGAGAUCUUGGGAGGUCAUUAGUGGAGGUCUUGAUUCAAUGCUCAUGUUGUGGGACUUCUCCAAAGGGCGCCCCUACAAAGUAGUGGAUUUUGCUACAUUUGAUGUGAGUAGUGGCAUUGCUGGCCGGUGUGUCAAUCCUGCUUUUGUUCAUGCAAUAGCUGUUCCAGAAGUUGACAUGCUAGAUAAAUUAGACAAAAUAUGCGCUGUUGCAAGGGGCGAUGGAGCUAUUGAUGUGAUUAAUAUUGAAACAGAAAUGGCUGCUACAAAAUCAAAAAGCUCUUCAAAUUCACGAAAAGGAUCACACUCAAGAUCAAAAGAUGGUAGUUCAUCUAGCAAUACAGACGCAGAUCAAAAUGGAAAAAAGAGGUUGCAUUUGAAUUACACUUUGGGUGGCCAUACUGCAGCUGUUUCCAGCCUGGCAUUUUCAUUGUUUGGGGAAAGAGGGAAAUUCUUGAUAUCUGGAGGAAAUGAUAAGUUGGUGAAGAUAUGGAAUUGGUCCUGUUAUCCAGAUGUAGGGUUAAGUGACGACAAUAACAAUAAUAUCCUACAUUUGAACAUUGAAGUAUCUCGAAAAGUCAAUUGGCUGUGUACCACCUCAGCUGAUACAGACAACCUUGUUGUGUGUGACACAUCUAAAGUAGUAAAGGUCUACUCUAUAACAUAGUUUAAAACUAGAUGACAGUGAUGGAUGAUGCAAUCUUCUUGUGUUGGUCAUGGUUUAGGAAUAUGGAAAAGGGUUUUGUAAUGCAUUUUAAUCAAUGGUUGAGUAAUCUAAGAGAUGGAUUUUGUAAUCAGGGGAGGGAAGCAUACAUAGGACCUGGGUAGCCUAUAGCUUACAAUAUGAGCAGCUUAUGGUUAGCUAAUUCGACUGUUCAAGCUUGUAUUAGGAAACCAUAUGUCUGCUGAACUUCAAAAAUUUGUGUUCUUAGUACCCCUGGUACUUACAUAUAUACACUAAUUUAUCUUUGCUGAUAAAAAAAAAGAUGACAGUGAUUAUUGGAAUGAGUA